AAUAGAUACCCGGGUAGUCCACGCCGUAAACGAUGUCGACUUGGAGGUUGUUCCCUUGAGGAGUGGCUUCCGGAGCUAACGCGUUAAGUCGACCGCCUGGGGAGUACGGCCGCAAGGUUAAAACUCAAAUGAAUUGACGGGGGCCCGCACAAGCGGUGGAGCAUGUGGUUUAAUUCGAUGCAACGCGAAGAACCUUACCUACUCUUGACAUCCACGGAACUUUUCAGAGAUGAAUUGGUGCCUUCGGGAACCGUGAGACAGGUGCUGCAUGGCUGUCGUCAGCUCGUGUUGUGAAAUGUUGGGUUAAGUCCCGCAACGAGCGCAACCCUUAUCCUUUGUUGCCAGCGGUUAGGCCGGGAACUCAAAGGAGACUGCCAGUGAUAAACUGGAGGAAGGUGGGGAUGACGUCAAGUCAUCAUGGCCCUUACGAGUAGGGCUACACACGUGCUACAAUGGCGCAUACAAAGAGAAGCGACCUCGCGAGAGCAAGCGGACCUCAUAAAGUGCGUCGUAGUCCGGAUUGGAGUCUGCAACUCGACUCC
rnacentral:rRNA from 1 species